rnacentral:rRNA from 1 species
GAUGAACGCUGGCGGCGUGCUUAACACAUGCAAGUCGAACGGGAUCCCAGGGGUGCUUGCACUUUUUGGUGAGAGUGGCGAACGGGUGAGUAACACGUGAGUAACCUGUCCUUUUCUUUGGGAUAAGCAUUCGAAAGGGUGUUUAAUACCUUAUGUUCUGUCUGCCUCGCAUGGGGUGGGUGGGAAAGGCUUUGGCCGGAUUUGGGUGGGCUCGCGGUCUAUCAGCUUGUUGGUGGGGUGAUGGCUUACCAAGGCUUUGACGGGUAGCCGGCCUGAGAGGGGGUGGGGUAACAGGGGGAGUGAGAGGCGCCCCGGCGCCGGGGGGGGGGGAGCGGGGGGGGAUAGUGAAAAAGGGGGGAAGGCGGGAUGAGGCGCGGCGGGGGGGGGGAGGAAGCCCUGGGGUGUGUAAUUUUUUGUGGUGCAGAACAGGGCAUGCCGGGGGGUGUUUGGGGUGGGGGGGUGGUUUGGCGCCGCCAAACUAGGUG